UACCCGAUGGUGUAACGGUAGCACAAGGGAUUUUGGUUCCCUUUGUCAUGGUUCGAAUCCAUGUCGGGUAGCCA
rnacentral:tRNA from 1 species